rnacentral:rRNA from 1 species
UACGGAGGGUGCAAACGUUGCUCGGAAUCAUUGGGCGUAAAGCGCACGUAGGCGGCCUGUUAAGUCGGGUGUGAAAGCCCUGGGCUCAACCCAGGAAGUGCACUCGAAACUGGCAGGCUUGAAUACUAAAGAGGGUCGCGGAAUUCCCGGUGUAGAGGUGAAAUUCGUAGAUAUCGGGAGGAACACCGGUGGCGAAGGCGGCGACCUGGGUAGAUACUGACGCUGAGGUGCGAAAGCGUGGGGAGCAAACAGG